rnacentral:rRNA from 1 species
AUUGACCGCUGGCGGCAGGCCUAACACAUGCAAGUCGAGCGGAGCGGCGGACGGGUGAGUAAUGCCUAGGAAUCUGCCUGGUAGUGGGGGAUAACGUCCGGAAACGGGCGCUAAUACCGCAUACUAUCAGAUGAGCCUAGGUCGGUGUAGCUAGUUGGUGGGGUAAAGGCCUACCAAGGCGACGAUCCGUAACUGGGCUUAGAGGAUGAUCAGUAACAAUGGAACGUAGACACGGUCCAGACGCCUACGGGAGGAAGCAGUGGGGAAUAUUGCACAAUGGGCGCAAGCCUGAUGCAGCCAUGCCGCGUGUAUGAAGAAGGCCUUAGGGUUGUAAAGUACUUUCAGCGGGGAGGCGUUACCCGCAGAAGAAGAACCGGCUAACUCAGUGCCAGCCGCCGCGGUAAUUC